CAAUAAAUGUCUCUGUGCUUCCAGGCAGUGCGAAUGAAUGGGGAACAAAUCAAGUUCCUGCGCUAAUGGUACCUAACAGAGUACCGAGUGGGGGAGAGACGCGAUGAGCGAUACGCUAUUAGAGAAAUAAGUGUUGAGAAGAAACAAAAAGAAGUGUAAGGGAUUAGGAAGUGGCAGUGGUGAUGGGACGCGUGGCUGUUAGGUCGGGUGCCCAGGGAGGCGAGCCUGAGAGUACGAUUUUAAAUGAGUUCUGAAGAAGUGAGAAUCCUGCAAACUGCCAAUGAGCAGCUUAAGCAAAGGGACCUGAAGUCGGUUGGCAGAGUUCCAUCUUGGCUACUCCAGCUCAAUUCUCAGAAAGUCCCAAUGAGGCAACUUUGGCGAAAUUUCCAUCAUCCAACCAUUUAUGUCAGGCACCGUUCCAAGGACCUAAACUCAUUUAAUCCUCACACCAAUGCUCUGGGAUGGAUACUGUUGUUUGGGGCUGAAGAAACAGGGAUAAAGAGAGGUGAAGUAUUUGCUAAAGGUCACAUCCUGUCUGAGACCGGCUUCCCUGAAAGCAGGCUCUGAGGCAGAGAUCUGCAUCUGGGAGGUGUGUUGGAGACCAACCCUGGUUAAAACCCCCUUAGGUAGGU